rnacentral:rRNA from 1 species
AUAAUUAUGAUUAAUUUUUCUCGAAUUAAAAAGUUUUAAUUAAAUAUUAAUAUAAUUUUUUCAUAAAUUUUUAUAAUUUUUAAUUGGAAAUGAAAUGUUAUUCGUUUUUUAUUAUAUCUAGUUUUUUAAGAAAAAAAUUUAAUUUUAUUAUUAUUAAUUUAUUAAUUAAUUUUUAGUUAAUAAUUUUUAGUAUUUAAUAUAUAAAGGGUUGAGCUUUUAUAUAGAUUAUUAAAAAUUUAAUUUUUAUAAUUUUUGUAUAAUUUGAAUUGUUAGUCAUUUAAAUAAUUUAAUAAUUAGUUUUAUUUUGUUAUAAUAUUUAUAUAUUUUUUAAUUAUUUUAUUAAAAAAAAAAGUUUAAUUUUAUUUCUUUUUAUAUAAUGAUUAAAUUAGUAGAUUUUUUGUAUAUUUUAAAAAUUUUUAAUUAGGUAGUAAAAAGGAAUUCGGCAAAUAUAUUUUUCGCCUGUUUAUUAAAAACAUCUCUUUUUGAUAAUAAUUUAAAGUUUAAUCUGCUCAAUGAAAAUUAAAUUGCCGCAGUAUUUUGACUGUGCAAAGGUAGCAUAAUAAUUAGUUUUUUAAUUGAAAACUGGAAUGAAUGAUUGGACGAAAAAAUUUCUGUCUUUUUAUUAUUUUUAUUGAAUUUUACUUUUAAGUUAAAAGGCUUAAAUUUUUUUAAAAGACGAGAAGACCCUAUAGAGUUUAAUUUUUAAUUUAUUUUUUAUUAUUAGAAUUUAAUUUAAUGAUUAAGUUAAGAAUUUAGUUGGGGUGACUGGUUGAUAAAUUUAACUCUUUUAAUUUAAAAUCAAUUAUUUUUGAUUAUAAAAUCUAUAUUUUUAAUUUUAAAACAAAUUACCUUAGGGAUAACAGCGUAAUUUUUCUUUAAAGUUCUUAUUAAA